rnacentral:tRNA from 1 species
CGCUUUUUUGCUAUCUGCGAUACUCGCAGUUGACUUUUAAUCAAUUGGUCGCAGGUUCGAAUCCUGCACGACCCACCA